rnacentral:rRNA from 1 species
GAGAGUUAAACAGUACGUGAAAUUGUUGAAAGGGAAACGAUUGAAGCCAGUCGUACCUUCGGGUAAUCAGCCUUUCGGGUGCGAUUCUGUGGAGUUUGAGGAGCUUAACACCUUCAUGCUUUGCAUAUUCGUGCUCUUGGGUGUACUUGCCCGUGUGGUUGGUUAACAUCAAUUUCGGGCACCAUAAAAUGGCUGGAGGAAUGUAGCUUCGAUCUUGUAUUGAAGUGUUAUAGCCUUCGGUAGAUGUGGUGAUCGAGAUUGAGGAUUGCAACGGAUACCUUUCGGGGCUACCUGUCUGAUCUCUGAUCGUUGCUUUGGUGCUGAAAGCGUGCUUAUAGUUAUCAAAGUCGAUGGUCAAUAGGUUAGAAUGGGUUAAAUUCGUUAAGGAUGUUGACGUAAUGGCUUUAAACGA